UUUUCCUUCUCUCUUUUUCAUGUUCCGCCUCCUCUUAGUCCUCUGUCACACAUUUUCCACGUCUCUGAUCUCACACCAAAAGAAGGAAAAGAAAAGGAAACUUUAAUAUGAUAUUUUUCUUUCUUGUUCCUCUUUAAUCAAAAUCUCUAUCUAUUUUUAUUUCUUUCUUCUUCUUCUUUUCUAACACGUUCUUUCCUCUGUUUUCUAAACUAACACAGAGAAAUAAUCGGAGAAAUUGACGGGAAUUCGAGUGACACGAUUUUCGCCUGUUAGGAGCGCGUUUCCCCCUUGUUAGGAUCGCGUUUCCCCCUUGUUAGGAUCGCGUUCCCAUCACGAUUUUCAGUGAGGAACGUAAAUUCUCGGUUCUCACAGAGAUUUGUGAUGGCUUUGCACGCUCCUGGCUACUUAAGAGUUGACUUACGAGGAGUAGUUAGUUUUUCGCGGAAUGAUGAUUAUUAGAGGCGGUUGUUCGAGAAGCUUUGGAGUGUCUUAUGGUUAGGAGAAUAAUGAUUGUGCUUGCAUGAUGCAUCGCCGUUCUGAGAAAUUUUGACACUAUGGUCGAUCUCCAGUAAGGUCUUACGAAUCCCGGAGAUGGUGGUAAUGACUCUACAAUUUCAAGUGGUAAACACAUGGAGUUUACUAUGUGAAGCUGGCUCAAAAGGUCAUUUCUCCAGGAUCAUAUCUCGCUGGAUAGGAUGGAUCUGAGAAACCCGAAAUUCAAAUUUCGGAUUAACGAAAGUAACCACAUCCAGUUCAGUUCUUGAAACUUCUCAUAGGAAAUCUUUGGCAUUUGUUGGAGAUGUUGUUGGCAGGAAUUGAAAAUGAAAAUCUUUGUUGUGCCUCUUUCUCAGGGUUUCUUGUGCACCUACUUUGGCCAUAAUCUGGUACUUAUAUGUGCGGAGUUACUUAUGUGUACCAAAAAUGACUUACCUAUACAUAUAUUCAUUCAACUAAUUUGGCUCCAACCAGUUCCAGACAUCUUAUUGGGCUGAGAGGAUUUUCCAUACUCUUUUAUCAACAAACAUUUCAGAGGCAGGUCGUUCGCUUCUCAAAACUCAUUGUUCCAAACCAUUAAAGGCCAUUAUGGGGGUUCCUUGAGACACAGUUUCCUCCUCAAGGCCUCCGGUUUGUUAUUCGUCGGCUGCGCCUGCUGGUUACCAUUUCAGAGGUUAAUCUUUGACAGGUUAAAUUGGUGAAUUGGAGUAUGUUGAGGAUCAUAAGUCAUGGAAAAUUGUUGUUAAAAUGAACGGUGGAUAAACAAUUUUGGUAUUAUCACUCCGUUUUAGUGCAAGUAAGAAGGAGGUCGAGCCAUGGACCUGCUAGACAGGUUGUAUUCUUUUUUUUUUAGUGUGGUGUUAAAUUGUUUUCUUUUCUCUUUUCAUUCAGAGGCAGUACAUUCUGCAUCAUACAGGUAAAGAGUUCUUAUAUAAACUAAUGAGCUUAAGGAAAAUUGCAUAGUAUAGACCUUAUAAUUCGAAGGGGUAAGACCUAUGCAUUGCGUUUAAUGUAGUGUUCAUAUGACACUUAGCAGUGUAUUUCUUAGUAGACAAAAACUCAUUGGUGAUAAUUCAGUGUUGUUCGUUUGUUUACGUUGUUGACUGGUAAAUCUGUGCUUCGGCUACGUAAUGCUUGCUACAUCUGCUGGCAUCCUGCUAUCAAUGAUGCAAGGAGGACGAACGUUGGUGGUAAAUAUAUGGUUUCCUAUUUCUCAUAUCUUUUGGAUUACAUUCGGUUCAAUAUAUGUUUGGUUUCAUUUCAAGUUGACUACGACAUUGUUAGGCAGAAAUAGAUAUAUAAAUGUUCUACA